GAGGAAUAAAUUUCAGAUCUGCAUUUAUGACCCUAAAUGCUGGGUCAAGAACUUUACUUAAUUUGAUGUAGUUAUGUAAUGCAAAUGCAACAUAGAUGAUUCUAUUUUGAUUUUGAGACAAAUAUAUUAGCAUUUUUGCUAAAAUAUUUUACCGCGCCUUUAAAAUGCUAAAGGCCCUCUAAAUAUAAUUUCUUAAGAAUGAAUGGGCUCAAUUGAAAAUUUCUUACGGUAAUGUUGAUUUUUGUAGAUUCACAAUGGAGGGUUUGUUUUAU
rnacentral:lncRNA from 1 species